rnacentral:rRNA from 1 species
GACGAACUUUGGCGGCGUGCUUAACACAUGCAAGUCGAACGGAAAGGCCCUGCUUUUGUGGGGUGCUCGAGUGGCGAACGGGUGAGUAACACGUGAGUAACCUGCCCUUGACUUUGGGAUAUCUUCAGGAAACUGGGGCUAAUACCGGAUAGGAGCUCCUGCUGCAUGGUGGGGGUUGGAAAGUUUCGGCGGUUGGGGAUGGACUCGCGGCUUAUCAGCUUGUUGGUGGGGUAGUGGCUUACCAAGGCUUUGACGGGUAGCCGGCCUGAGAGGGUGACCGGCCACAUUGGGACUGAGAUACGGCCCAGACUCCUACGGGAGGCAGCAGUGGGGAAUAUUGCACAAUGGGCGGAAGCCUGAUGCAGCAACGCCGCGUGCGGGAUGACGGCCUUCGGGUUGUAAACCGCUUUCGCCUGUGACGAAGCGUGAGUGACGGUAAUGGGUAAAGAAGCACCGGCUAACUACGUGCCAGCAGCCGCGGUGAUACGUAGGGUGCGAGCGUUGUCCGGAUUUAUUGGGCGUAAAGGGCUCGUAGGUGGUUGAUCGCGUCGGAAGUGUAAUCUUGGGGCUUAACCCUGAGCGUGCUUUCGAUACGGGUUGACUUGAGGAAGGUAGGGGAGAAUGGAAUUCCUGGUGGAGCGGUGGAAUGCGCAGAUAUCAGGAGGAACACCAGUGGCGAAGGCGGUUCUCUGGGCCUUUCCUGACGCUGAGGAGCGAAAGCGUGGGGAGCGAACAGGCUUAGAUACCCUGGUAGUCCACGCUGUAAACGGUGGGUACUAGGUGUGGGGUCCAUUCCACGGGUUCCGUGCCGUAGCUAACGCUUUAAGUACCCCGCCUGGGGAGUACGGCCGCAAGGCUAAAACUCAAAGGAAUUGACGGGGCCCCGCACAAGCGGCGGAGCAUGCGGAUUAAUUCGAUGCAACGCGUAGAACCUUACCUGGGUUUGACAUGGAUCGGGAGUGCUCAGAGAUGGGUGUGCCUCUUUUGGGGUCGGUUCACAGGUGGUGCAUGGCUGUCGUCAGCCCGUGUCGUGAGAUGUUGGGUUAAGUCCCGCAACGAGCGCAACCCUUGUUCACUGUUGCCAGCACGUUAUGGUGGGGACUCAGUGGAGACCGCCGGGGUCAACUCGGAGGAAGGUGGGGAUGACGUCAAGUCAUCAUGCCCCUUAUGUCCAGGGCUUCACGCAUGCUACAAUGGCUGGUACAGAGAGUGGCGAGCCUGUGAGGGUGAGCGAAUCUCGGAAAGCCGGUCUCAGUUCGGAUUGGGGUCUGCAACUCGACCUCAUGAAGUCGGAGUCGCUAGUAAUCGCAGAUCGGCAACGCUGCGGUGAAUACGUUCCCGGGGCU